ACUCCAGUGGCCUAGUGGUUAGAGCAUCUACCUUGUAUGCAGGAGGUUGUGGGUUCAAUCCCCAUCCGAGUC